CACUAUAUAUAGCCAUGGGUGACGGUGAGUCUGAGAAGCCGCCAUGGAGACUGGAAGGGAGGAGCUUUGAGCAGGUAGAGGGCUGUGAUGUUAAUAAAGAAAUGAAAGUCCUACUUCUAAAUAGAGAACCCAACAAUUCUUUGUUAACAUCCUCAUCCCAUUAUUUUUGCUCAAAUUUUCUCCCUUUCCAAUUCCUUCUUUUGUUCAUAAACAGAUUCAGACAGAUUGUUUGAGAGGAAUAAGAUCUGAACCUGUUGGUUUGAAGGAGAAGGAGAAAAGGAUUGAGGGGAGAGAGAAGAGUGGCACCAAGUUAUGGAAUAGGGGUGUGGGAAAGAAAUAUGACAGAUCCAAUAUUUUGAAAAAUAUUGGGGAAAAAAAAAAUCAGUUCUUACCCACACCUCCUAUUCCAUCCCUUCUUGCUUCUCAUCUCUUUCCCUAAAUCCUAAUAAUUCGUUCUUGCUUUGCCUUGUUUUUUAUGCUGUAUAUUCUUGUUACGUCUUUGUUUUCAGAAUUAGAAAAGGUAAUAUUCUUGAACUGUUAGUCAGGUUGGCUUUGUUGAUUUCCAAAUGGUACAUGUCGGUUCUUUUACGUUUUGGAAUUGUUAUACCGAUUCCUUUUGUAGAUGCUUACUGUAAUUAUGCUUAGUGUAACUCUGAGGCAAGUAUCUUAAAUCAGGGAAAGUUCCAACCCAUUUUCUUGAAAGGUUUUUCUGUUUUUUUCAUUAUCUUUUACAAUUUACAUUGUAUUGUAGUCAUCGGAUUCUUGGAUCCUACUCUUUGUGUUUCAACCAAGAUCAAAAGCCAGUAACAGAAUGAAUCUACUGAGAGUACAAGUUUUAGAUGUGUGAAAACACUGGUCUAUGAUUGAAUCUUAAGUCCAGAUUGUCCAUUUAAAGAAGUCCAUUUCUUGACAAUGGCUAAUCCAAUUAAGCAGUAUCACAGAUCAACUUCCCAGUUUAUGGGUCCUUUUGUUCCUCCAAAUUUUAACACCGGUUACUCGUGCUUAUGUCGUAAUCUAUUGCUAUGUCGAUUAAGUACUUAUCUUAUCAGUCACAAAAAAAAAAACCAUCUUUUCAGAUAACACAGAUGCGUUUUGCAUCAUCAUCCACAGUUAAACGUUACUAAUUCCAGCUACCUGAAUGUGUCUAAAAUAAUUUAGAGUCAGUGGUCCUAUAUGCGCCGACAUGCUUAGGCUUCUGAGACGCAUCAAGCAGUACAAGGCAUGGUAUACCCAAGAAACGAGUCUUUGGAUCAAACAGAGUCAUUUAAUUUUGUUCAUCGCCCAAUUCCAACAGAGAAAAAGUAGCAAAAGAUUAUGGUGAGCUUGAAGACCUAUGCAUAAUCUAAAUAAGGUGGCACAUAUACAGCUGCUUUCCAAGCAGUCAAGUUUUCUGUUUUCAGUUUGUGAAUAUUUCCAUAUACUUCUUUAGCUAACGUCUAACAUUAGAGGUCCAUUGGCUCGAAGUAGGGGUGCUCCAUUGCUGCUUUAGCUGUGAUUCUUUUCACUGGAUCAUAUAUAAGCAUUUUCUGCAGUUUUCAAAAGAAAUAUACUGUAAGACUCAUGCUGUUGGCUUGAAGUAGGGGUGCUCCAUUGCUGCUUUAGCUGUGAUUCUUUUAACUGGAUCAUAUCAUGUUCAGGUUUUCAUUUGGAAGAGGCAUUAGCAAACCACAAUUCAUGGUCACCUGAUUUGGAGCUGGAAGCCCUCUGGGGUUGAAAAAAAUUGAGAAAUGAGCGUAACCUUAGACAAUGUGAGUCGUUUGAAAACAGAAAUUACUGAUUGGACGUAUGGCAGAAACGUAUUUCAUGAACCAUGGACACAAAAACAGAAAGCAGAUACUCUUGUUACUGGCAAGUAUAUAGACCGUUUGUCAAAUCAUGUAUCCAGAUGUGUGCUCACUCUUGUUUCCACUGUGUUUUUUAUCACGCAAAAAUGCAAUUGCCUUGAUUGAGUAAUAAGGUUGUAAUUUGAGAAACUAGUAAAGCAAAAAGUUAAUUACA